rnacentral:rRNA from 1 species
CCUACGGGGGGCUGCAGUAGGGAAUAUUGGUAAUGCGCGAAAGCGUGAACCAGCAACGCCGCGUGUGCGAUGAAGGCCUUCGGGUUGUAAAGCACUUUUCGGGAGGAAGAGGAAGGACUGUACUCCCAGAAUAAGCCUCGGCUAACUACGUGCCAGCAGCCGCGGUAAUACGUAGGAGGCAAACGUUAUCCGGAUUUACUGGGCGUAAAGCGCGUGUAGGCGGUUUGAUAAGUUGGACGUGAAAGCUCCCGGCUCAACUGGGAGAGGUCGUUCAAUACUGUCAAGCUAGAGGAUGGUAGAGGGAGGUGGAAUUCCGGGUGUAGUGGUGAAAUGCGCAGAUAUCCGGAGGAACACCAGUGGCGAAGGCGGCCUCCUGGACCACUCCUGACGCUCAGACGCGAAAGCUAGGGUAGCGAACGGGCUUAGAUACCCGUGUAGUC